CAGCGCCGCGGGAAUACGGAGGGUGCAAGCGUUAAUCGGAAUUACUGGGCGUAAAGCGCACGCAGGCGGUCUGACAAGUCAGAUGUGAAAUCCCCGGGCUUAACCUGGGAACUGCAUUUGAAACUGUCAGGCUGGAGUCUUGUAGAGGGGGGUGGAAUUCCAGGUGUAGCGGUGAAAUGCGUAGAGAUCUGGAGGAAUACCGGUGGCGAAGGCGGCCCCCUGGACAAAGACUGACGCUCAGGUGCGAAAGCGUGGGGAGCAAACAGGAUUAGAUACCCCUGUAGUCCCUGUCUCUUAUACA
rnacentral:rRNA from 1 species